rnacentral:rRNA from 1 species
CCAAUAGCGUAUAUUAAAGUUGUUGCAGUUAAAAAGCUCGUAGUUGAAUUUCGGGGUUAGUAGGUUGGUCAUGCCUCUGGUAUGUACUGGUCUCACUGAUUCCUCCCUCUUGACGAACUGUAAUGUCAUUAAUUUGGUGUUGCAGGAAAUCAGGACUGUUACUUUGAAAAAAUUAGAGUGUUUAAAGCAGGCUAAGGCUUGAAUACAUUAGCAUGGAAUAAUGAAAUAGGACGUUUGAUCCUGUUUUGUUGGUUUCUAGGAUUGACGUAAUGAUUAAUAGGGAUAGUUGGGGGCAUUAGUAUUCAAUUGUCAGAGGUGAAAUUCUUGGAUUUAUUGAAGACUAACUACUGCGAAAGCAUUUGCCAAGGAUGUUUUCAUUAAUCAAGAACGAAAGUUAGGGGAUCGAAGACGAUCAGAUACCGUCGUAGUCUUAACCAUAAACUAUGCCGACUAGGGAUCGGAUGAUGUUAAUUUUUUAAUGACUCAUUCGGCGCCUUACG